rnacentral:hammerhead_ribozyme from 1 species
CUACUGUGAAGAGUCCCAAACUAGGACGAAACGGCUGUCCAGUAC